AGGCUCCCAUGUAUGGGGAUGAUCAAGUCAUGCAAGUGUAUUAAACAAGAUAGGUGGAUUGAGUCUGCAGUUUUUCACCUUAUUAACUCCCUUCAUUUAACUGUCUUGAAUCUCACUGCUGCAGUUUUGCAUUUUGUCCUAUCUUCUAUUGAUAUUUCAAUAUUUACUGCUUUUCUGAACCUGCUAACUACUGUAUAUGCCUUAUCCCUGCUAAAAUAAUGCCUAACGUCAUUUAAAAAAUGUGUUUGUAAUUGAAGAGUUUAUAAUGAUGUUGCAAUUGUGUGAAAAUAAUAAUUUUUAAGUGCUACUCUUCAUUUGAAGGAAUUACUUAGCAUUGAAAUAAGUCAACUAGUCUCUCUUUUUGUAUGGUGACACCAGCAAAACCAGAUGCACAUGGGAUAGCCAUUACCCAUCUCGUUUCUUGGCUGGAGAAGAGGAACAAAGAGGAAAAUUAUUAAUGACAAGGAAAAAAUACAUUACUUGUGCCCAACGUGUUGAAUUAGCUGAUGCAAUUUAGGGUUUCACUGAAAACACCAAUUUAUGACAGUAGGAACUGGUAUUCUUAUAUUCAAAACCUCUUUACUAACAAUGUCUUAUCAGAAGGUGAAGGUGAUGGCUUCACAGAAACAGUAGCUGUCAUUAGUGCAGUUUUCAGUUUGAGUAUAUCUGAUUAGGAAGAGAUUAAAAAAUCUACAUGUAUGAACCAGUGUAUUACAGUAAACCCUCAAUAAACCAAACUAAUUGGGAGGAGAUACCUGAUGGUUUAUCAGAAAAUUUUAUUUAUAAGAUGGUCAAAAUAGCACCUUGUAAACACCUUGUAAACUGACUGAGGGUCAGUUUAUACGGUGACGCAUUCAGUAAUAUGUAUGUUGAAAAUGGGUGGCUUCUUUUCGUACAUUUUUUUACAGUAGAUCUUUAGUGGUAUACUACUUGCUAUACUGUAAUAUAGAUAAUAAGAUUGAUCAAUUAAAAGUAUUUUUGACUGUUACACUCACUAAACAAGGAAGAGAUACUGUGUUGCUGUGUUGGGAAUGUUGCUGUGAGACGAAGGGGAGGAAGCCAAGUGACACACAUACCACCACACUACACCAUAGCUCACCACCACCACCACCACCACCACCACCACCACCACUGUAAUGUAUUACACUAUGCUGUACUGAACAGUAGUUAUUCAACACUUAAUACUACAUUAAACACACUAAUGUUAUCUUAACACUACACUUAACACUAAACACUUAAACCUACAUAACUUUACACUGUGCACUUUCUUUACUUAUCAUUGUCAUCAAAGGAGUGAAAAUUUGUUAUGGUAGUUCUGAUGUAACCUGUGGUGAGUAUGAGAAAGUACUGAGUAAGCUCAUUGAGGAUGUUGGAGCAACUGACACAUUGUCUCUGAAUCUUGCUUCUGCUUCUUUCUAGCUGGAAGAUCAGGUGAUGGAGUAGCCUUGAAGUAUUUGGAGAUUUUCUACUGGACUUUUCUGGCCUGCUGUUGUUUCAUUAAAAAGCUGUGAACUAUGUGGAACAUCUCAUAACUCUCAACCAGAGGUCCACCAACUUUUGUCAGCUAGGGCCAGCAGUGUGUCAUUUGCAUCAAUCACUGCUGCAGUUGACAGUCCACCUUCGCUUCUUCCUGUUCCGCAAGUCAGUUGGGUGAAGUCAACUUUUGCACAAUUUCAUCUUCUGUUUGAUGGCAACCAUGCAAGUCAGCUUCCUUUUCUACCCAAUCCUCCAUCUCCUCUAUGAGAAUAGAACCCUGUCCAGCUGCAGCCAACAUUUCAGCUGCCCUUGGUGCCUUGAACCCCUCCAAAUCAUGAAGCUGAGCUGGAGUUUGGGGUUUUCAAAAGUUUGCACCAGGCAUUCUUAAGUGUGGAGAAAGGCACUGCUUUCCAUGCCUAUUCCCAGUUACAAAUCUCGUCCUUGAUGUUAUAUUUCUUGAAAUUGUACAAUGUUUUCCUCCACAUGUUGUUUUCAUAGCCUACUUCAUCUAUUCCAUCCUCCAUGACGACGAGGCACUUCUACAGGUAGAGAUUGUGGUAGACUCAUUUCUCACUCUUGAUAAUCCCUGGUCUAUAGGUUGAAUCAGGGCAGUCGUGUUUGGUGGCAGGAACAAAACUCAUUUUUUUCAUCCUUGCUGCAGAGCUUUGCUGAUGAUGGAUGUGCUGGAGAAGUGUUCAUUAGCAGUACAGUCUUGACCCUGUCAAUGCCAAUGCCAUACAGUUUUUGAUGUUGACAGCUGGCUCAAAAAUAUUGUGGAAUCAAUCACCCAUAGUAUCCUGAGUAAACCAUGCUGAAGCACUGGUGCAGAAUGCUACAGGUAUUAAAUUCUUAAGUGCCCUUGGCUUAGCACUUAACAACAACAGACUUCGGUCCAGUUCUGUUUAUAUUGCUGGAAGCCUAGGUGUUCCUGGGCAGAGACUUCCAGUAUAACCCAGUUUCAUCUGCAUUGUACAUUUGAAAGUCUUGGUAACACUCCAUUUCCCUCAACUUGUGAGACCUGUUCACAAAUGGAUCCACAAUACUGGCAUCAGCGCUAAGCAGCUCCCCAGUGAUGGCUUUGUUUACAAUGUCAUGGCACCGUCAAAACUGCCACAGCCAACCAUCACUACACUUCAAGUUGGUGUGGCCAAGAUGCUUAGCAAGUCUCUGUGCAGCAUGUUGUAUAUCCAUGCCAUGGACAGGUACACCUGCUCUCUCCUGGGUAUACCAUUUAUUAGCUUCAGCAAGGUUAUCCAUGGGAAGCUGUCUGUUCUGGUACACCUCCUUACUUUUCUUCCCACUUUCCAUCUCCCUUUGUCUUCCUGGCCUUGAUAAUAUCAUGAAGUGUUGUUUUCUUCAGGCCAUACUUGUCCAUCAGUUGAGCAUGUGACAUGUCCCUCUCAUGGUCCUGGAUUAUCUCAAACUUCUGAUGCACAGAGAGAAUCUUUUCUCCCUUUCUCCAUGAAGCAUGAGACGGUGAUGGAGUCUUACAAGAUGUGGUGGGAGUUUGGGAAGACAUUGUAGAUGUAUGUGUCACUGUGAGUGAGAGAGAGCACAUUAGCGAGGUACCACACUCUGUGAUAACCAGCCACACACUGAGCUGUGUUCAGUCAGCCCAGCCUAGGCCUGCGCCAGUAGUCAGCUUACCCAAGGGAUAUGCACAGCGUCACUGGCAUGUUUGGUCAACUUUCAAACUUGUCGAAUAAACCAAACAUAUGAUGAUGAUAAGUGCAAAUCGCAAGCACGAGGAUCCUUACAGCCUAGAAAUUCACAAUGCACCACCAACUCUGGACACAAUGGCUCGUCUUGAGCGCUACAUCCCACCCCUGUACAAGGUAAGCAAGGAGUGUGUCACCAUGCUGCGGAACAAGCCGAUCCGAGGCGCCCCAUUGGACUUCACAGGCGUCCUUUAAGAGACUGGAAUAUGUGUGGCCAUACCUGGCAGUGUAGAGGCUGUGCACAGCAGGCAACACUUGGUUCUCCAAUGAGAUACAAGAAGCAUUUCAGCAGGCAACACUUGGUUCUCCUAUGAGAUACAAGAAGCAUUUCAGCAGGCAACACUUGGUUCUCCUAUGAGAUACAAGAAGCAUUUCAGCAGGCAACACUUGGUUCUCCUAUGAGAUACAAGAAGCAUUUCAGCAGGCAACACUUGGUUCUCCUAUGAGAUACAAGAAGCAUUUCAGCAGGCAACACUUGGCUCUCCUAUGAGAUACAAGAAGCAUUUCAGCAGGCAAUACUUGGCUCUCCUAUGAGAUACAACCUUCAAAAAUUGUUUCAUGCCUCAGGAAUCAGUACAGAUCUUGACAUUACUGACACCCUAAGAAACCUGAAAACACAUAAAUUUUUCCUCACACAGCAUAGCAAAGACUUGACUCUUGACACCAAGCACUGAAGACAAACACAGGGGGCGGUGGGGGGUCAGUAUGACCUCUCUACCUGCCUUAAAAAUACCCUAA